rnacentral:rRNA from 1 species
GACGGAGGAUGCAAGCGUUAUCCGGAAUUAUUGGGCGUAAAGCGCACGCAGGCGGCUCGACAAGUCCUUUGUUAAAGCGCGAGGCUUAACCUCGUAAAGGCAGAGGAAACUGUUGAGCUAGAGUAUGGUAGGGGCAGGAGGAAUUCCCGGUGUAGCGGUGAAAUGCGUAGAUAUCGGGAGGAACAUCAGUGGCGAAGGCGGCUGCCUGGCCCAAUACUGACACUCAGGUGCGACAGCGUGGGGAGCAAACAGG